rnacentral:lncRNA from 1 species
GGAGCCCUGAGGUAGGACCUGAGCUGGCCAGCCCUGCAGGACCAGCAGGUCAGCAGCAGGACUUCUGGGUCAGGGAGAGGCCUCAGCAGGCCGGUGGGGGGCAGGCGGGGCGGCAGAGCAGGGACAGGGAGGAGGAGGGCUUGCAGCAGCUGGGCUGGCAGGAGGAGGCGCAGCAGGAGGAGGCGGGCACACAGCAGGUGGGUCUGCACACGGGGCGGCAGAGCAGGGACACGGAGGAGGAAGGUGUGCAGCACAGCAGAUGGGCACGCAGCAGGAUGGCUGGCAGGGGGGGCAGGAGCAGCAAGCCGGCUGGCAGCCAGACUGCUGGCAGCAGGAGGAGGAGGCCCCGGAGCAGACAGGAGGGCCGAGGAGACACUCAGCCGGGUCGUGACUGGCUCCCUUGGUGUUGGAGGCCCAGGGUCUCUUGCCCUGGGACGGGGUGCUGCCGUGUCCCCUGGCUGGACCCACACCUGGGCUGAAAGGCAGGAGCCUCAUCGUUCCCUCUGUCCCUGUCUGGUCAUUUUCUGGGACUUCUUGCCACAGUUUCCUUCUGCCUUCUUGACCUUCAGGGGAUUACACAUGUAUUUAAUCUUUAUUUUCUGCCUCUUUUUGGAGAAUAAAAAUUUUGACCUAUAUCCAUAGCUCAGUGACUGUUUUGGGAAUUGUAUUUGUUUGUUUUAUUAGAUAGUAAUAAGUCCUGCUUGGUGCCAGCAACUAUUCUGAUCACGUGUAUAAAUAUUAACUUAUUAGCUCUCACAGCUUCAUGAGGUUGGUGCUGCUGUUUUUCUAGAGGAGGAAAUGGAGAGACAAUUAAGUACUUGUGCAAAGCCUCCACAGCCAGCCGAAGCUGCUGGGCAGGAACUCUCUGUGCCUCUGUCCUUUUUCAUUUCUGCUUGCCCGACAUUCUUAUUUAUUCUUAUUAGUGCAUGCGUGUAUCACCUAAUGUUGACAUUCCUUGUGUAGAGUUGAUACCUGUUCAUCUUAAUUCCUUUUUUAAAAAAACAAGCCUGUGGAAUUUUUUUAAAAUAAUUUUAUUAUCAAACACACACACAUACAGAAAUUAAAACCAUUCAGAGAAGAACAAUACAAGGGAAAAAAACUACAAUAAUAUUCAAAUACAGUAGAACUCAACCAAAACAAAACUGAAAAGCACUUAAACAUUUUUCCAUAUAACUUAAAAAAGCAUCUCAAGCACCAACAAGACACCAGAGGAUGUGAUUUGUUUCAGAAAGAUCCCCAAAACCAACACUGAACAAAUAGUGGUCUGGAAAAAAAGUCUAGGUAGCUAGCAGACUCCACAUAAGCCAAGCUUCUCCCUAAUUUAAAUUUCGAUACAGUUAUAUGACAUGCGAUGGAAACACAAUCCAAGAAAUAUGUUAUUAGGCAAUUUCAUCCGUGUGUAUUCUAAAUUAUCAGUUUCUCACAGUAAAGAAACUAUUCGGUAUUUACACAUAUGUGUCCGAUUUAUGUCACUUAAGAGGAUGGCCUCAAUAUGCAUCCAUUUAGCUAUUAAAUGUCUGUAGUUUCUCAUUCUUUAUAGCUGUGUAGUACUCCAUUUUAUAAAAAAAAA